rnacentral:rRNA from 1 species
UACGUAGGGUGCGAGCGUUAAUCGGAAUUACUGGGCGUAAAGCGUGCGCAGGCGGCGCGUUAAGACAGGUGUGAAAGCCCCGAGCUUAACUUGGGAAUUGCAUUCGAGACUGAAUAGCUAGGGUGCGGUAGAGGGAAGCGGAAUUUCCGGUGUAGCGGUGAAAUGCGUAGAUAUCGGAAGGAACACCAGUGGCGAAGGCGGCGCUCUGGGCCGGAACUGACGCUGAGGAGCGAAAGCGUGGGUAGCAAACAGG